CGUCUUGACGUUUUGUAUGAUAAUUAAGUUUAUCUAACUUCAGCAGUUGAAUCUGCAGAAAAAAUAUAAUUAUAAAAUAAAUAGUGAAGUGACAGUGACGUACCAAAUUCUGUUUUUCUACAAUGAACAAUUCACACAUACGGAAUACAUACAACCAGUGUCUAUUUUGGUAUUAGCAGAAAUUGUAGGUAAACAGCAGGUCCACUAUUAAUAUACAUCCAGGAACAUGUACCCAACUCCCAAACAAUAUCCGCCCCCAGAAAACACUUCCGAAAAUGCACCAAAUUCCGUUUACUACUGUCAAGAGGCAAAUACUCCUAUAGCAAACAUUCCACAAAA
rnacentral:lncRNA from 1 species